rnacentral:rRNA from 1 species
UAUUGCACAAUGGGGGGAACCCUGAUGCAGCGACGCCGCGUGGGUGAAGGAGCGUUUCGGCGCGUAAAGCCCUAUCGGCAGGGAAGAAGGAGGACGGUACCUGACUAAGAAGCCCCGGCUAACUACGUGCCAGCAGCCGCGGUAAUACGUAUGGUGCAAGCGUUAUCCUGAUUUACUGGGUGUAAAAGGAGCGUAGACGGAGAGGCAAGUCUGAUGUGAAAACCCGGGGCUCAACCCCGGGACUGCAUUGGAAACUGUUUUUCUAGAGUGUCGGAGAGGCAAGUGGAAUUCCUAGUGUAGCGGUGAAAUGCGUAGAUAUUAGGAGGAACACCAGUGGCGAAGGCGGCUUGCUGGACGAUGACUGACGUUGAGGCUCGAAAGCGUGGGGAGCAAACAG